rnacentral:lncRNA from 1 species
UGGGCUUUAGAAGCUCAUCCCUUUCCCUUAAUCCCAGUUUUGCAGGUUCAGAGUAGCUGGGAAGGGUAGAAGCAUCAGAGUUGCUAAAGGAUUGCAUAUGUAAUAGUAUAGUGUGGACAUGAUGUAUGUCAAAAGAUAUAUGUAAAGUGAUGUAAUAGUUAGUCAGUUAAGGUAUAAAUGUAUUAGAAUGUGCUUUUGCCUA